GCCAGGAUACACCCCUUCCUGGAUCUCAUUUAAGGGCUGGCAGCGGAGGCGAGAGGAUCUUGUUGGAGAUCCUUGUGUGCUUGAGGCCUUCUAAAGGUAAGCAGCUUUCCUUCCUUUUUUCCUUUUUGUAUCUACAGUAUCUGUGGCUGCUGCAUUUGGGCUCAUCCUUGUUUGCUGCAGCCAAAGGCUUACUUUGCCUACCUGCUAUUUUUGUUGUACUUUGCACCACAUUAUAGCAUUGCUUUGCCCCUGAAGCUUCUGUGUGUCCACGUGCUGGCUGCUGGCUGGCACUCAGCCCUUAGGUGUGUCUCAACAAGCCUUGGUCUAUUGCAUGACUCCAGUCACCACAAGGUGCUCACGGGAUUUAAUUCCAGCCAUGGCUGGGGCACAGACUAUGUUGUAAUUAUGGGCUCAAAGCCCACUGCAGUUAUGGACCAAGCUUGCAGUAUCAUCCUGUGAAAAGACACCGGGUCUGUUUCAACCAAAAGUGGGAAGCAAUGAUUUUUGCCAUUUUUUCCCGUGAACUUUAAGCUGUUGACAUGGUGCUAAAUUCAGUAUGCUGAAGGUGUUUCCAUGUGUCACUUCUAAUAGGAUACAGGUGUCAGACAAUUUGAGAUUAUUUCAAACCUAAUUUUCCUGGAGUGAAGAUACAAACAGUUAUACCAGAAGCAGAUGUGGGGCCUUUCUCACCCCUCAGGAAUGCGGUUUGGCAUUCAUCCAGACUGAGUCUAUGGGGAAAAAGAGAAAAUUAUACUUAAUUUUAGCUUGCGUGGUUUCCUCCUUUCAAAAAUCUAAGCGAAUGCGCAAUAAAGUAACCUAUCUUUUUUUCCUUCUGCUUACAUGGGGACUAAGUAUGUUGUUGCGAACAGAUGGUGUGAAGGCAGGUUGAGAUGUGAAUGCUCUCUCUCUCCCCACUAUUGCUGUGUAGCCACAUAACUGACAAAAAGAGCGCUGUAUUUUCCUUUUUCUCCUUUUCCUCAGUGUUUUUCAGGUACUUCUUCAGUAUGUUGGCUGGAAGUAACAGCCAGGAAACGGGAGCUACAGGAACUGCCCAUAAACUGCUUUUUGUGGCUCUAUAUCUGGUCCAGCUCCAUUGGGAUGCUCACUGGGACUGCACUGGGACUUGAGGGAACUUCUCCUCCCUUCUGCCCUCAAGCUGCUAAGAUUUUCUUGAGCUUUUCUUGCACUGUGGAGUAACAGUUCCUUUCUACCUCAUUCAUGCAGGUGGUCAUGCAAAAAUAAAUAAAAAGUGGCCACUGUAACUGAAAAAGUAACUGAAAAAGAGUGACGACUCAUAAAUUCAUUCUGGAAGGUGAAGGAGUGAGACAUCGGUGUCAUCCAGGAUUGUGUCAGAGGAAGAAGGGCAAGAAGUCCUCCUACACAAAAUGGGGUCUUUGCAGGGGGCCUGCACCUGUCUCUCCUUCUGCAGCUGAGGAUGUGCUGGAAACCUAUUUCCCUGUAGACCAGAGUGGGUAAAAGCUUCAGGGUCACGAAGCCCUUUAAUACUACCGCUGCUGUUACGGGUAGCAGAACAGAGCCUCGGUGACAUCCAUUGCAGCAUUUCAUUCUUUGAAGAGGCAAUACCAGAUCUGACCUCAGCCCUGACAGGAGAAUAGACCUCACUGCUUUCUGCAUCCAGGGUCUUAUUGAAGCAGAACAGUAACGUUAGUCUUCAGCAGCCAUGGAAAACAACAAAGAUCAUAAAGCCAGUCUCCAGGCGACAUAACUCUCACAGAAGCAACAGCUCCAGUCUACCUUCCCACCAGCUGAGAGCAAGGCUUUGGGGCUGGUGAGCACAGGCUGAUGGCUUUUCAUUCCUGCCUAGUGUCACAGUUGCUUUGCCUAGUAAGCAGGUUGAGCCUGACAGCGCAAGCUCUAAACUCACAUCCACAGCAAGUAAGAUAGCACCGGAACUUAGCUUUGCUUGUUGAGGAAGAGAAACUUAAAGUCAGAUUCACCCACGAUCACAGAUUCGUAGGGGCUGGAAGGGACCUCUGAAAAUCACGGUGUCUGAGUCCCUGCAAAAGCAGGUUCCCUACAGCCAACCGCACAGGUAGGUGGCCAGAUGGGUCUUGAAUAUACCCGGAGUAGGAGACUCCGUAACCUCAGCACCUCUGUUUCAGUGCCCCGUCACUCUCACGUUAAAGAAGUUCUGCCUUGAAGAUGAGAAGGUAAGGAAAGAGUGGUUGCAACACCAAAGUUCAAAGAUAAGCAUUGCUCUCUGCACCUCCGUGUUAGGGUCAGAAGAGUAUGUGACGGUGCUCCUGCAAAAGUUUGCAUCCAGACUGAACCGGAGGGCAGAAGCCCCUACGCUCUUGUGUGGUCUUGUGAUCUGGACCUAACACGGAUGACACUCAUAAACUGCAGUCCCUACAGGGGUGUUUCCCUGGCCUAUUUAA